UUUAAGUGCAACAAUAAGUUUCCACGUCUAAAUUUGAUCGUUCGUUUUAUUUAAAUUUUUUUGUAAUUAGUAUUUUUGUUGUUAUAAAAUGAUAAAACAUAAAUAUUACUUUACUCAUGACUUAUGUUUUCAAUUUUUUUUAAAAAAAAUUAAAUAAGACAAACGGUCAAAAUUAGGUGCGGAAAACCAUUGAUAUACUUAAA
rfam:Oryza meridionalis cultivar OR44 (W2112) chromosome 1, whole genome shotgun sequence.